rnacentral:rRNA from 1 species
UGGGGAAUAUUGGGCAAUGGGCGAAAGCCUGAUCCAGCCAUGCCGCGUGUGUGAAGAAGGUCUUCGGAUUGUAAAGCACUUUAAGUUGGGAGGAAGGGCAUUAACCUAAUACGUUAGUGUUUUGACGUUACCGACAGAAUAAGCACCGGCUACCUCUGUGCCAGCAGCCGCGGUAAUACAGAGGGUGAAAGCGUUAAUCGGAAUUACUGGGCGUAAAGCGCGCGUAGGUGGUUUGUUAAGUUGGAUGUGAAAUCCCCGGGCUCAACCUGGGAACUGCAUUCAAAACUGACUGACUAGAGUAUGGUAGAGGGUGGUGGAAUUUCCUGUGUAGCGGUGAAAUGCGUAGAUAUAGGAAGGAACACCAGUGGCGAAGGCGACCACCUGGACUAAUACUGACACUGAGGUGCGAAAGCGUGGGGAGCAAACA